rnacentral:rRNA from 1 species
UACGUAGGGGGCUAGCGUUGUCCGGAAUCAUUGGGCGUAAAGAGCGUGUAGGCGGCCCGGUAAGUCCGCUGUGAAAGUCGGGGGCUCAACCCUCGAAUGCCGGUGGAUACUGUCGGGCUAGAGUGCGGAAGAGGAGAGUGGAAUUCCUGGUGUAGCGGUGAAAUGCGCAGAUAUCAGGAGGAACACCGAUUGCGAAGGCAGCUCGCUGGGACGUCACUGACGCUGAGACGCGAAAGCGUGGGGAGCAAACAGG